GCCCGGGUGGCUCAGUCGGUUGAGCGUCCGACUUCGGCUCAGGUCAUGAUCUCACGGUUUGUGAGUUCGAGCCCCGCGUCGGGCU
rnacentral:tRNA from 1 species